rnacentral:rRNA from 1 species
GGUUAAGCGACUAAGCGUACACGGUGGAUGCCCUGGCAGUCAGAGGCGAUGAAGGACGUGCUAAUCUGCGAAAAGCGUCGGUAAGGUGAUAUGAACCGUUACAGCCGGCGAUGUCCGAAUGGGGAAACCCAGUGCAAUUCGUUGCACUAUCGUUAACUGAAUACAUAGGUUAACGAGGCGAACCGGGGGAACUGAAACAUCUAAGUACCCCGAGGAAAAGAAAUCAACCGAGAUUCCCCCAGUAGCGGCGAGCGAACGGGGAGCAGCCCAGAGUCUGAAUCAGCUUGUGUGUUAGUGGAACGGUCUGGAAAGUCCGACGGUACAGGGUGAUAGUCCCGUACACCAAAAUGCACAGGCUGUGAACUCGAAGAGUAGGGCGGGACACGUGGUAUCCUGUCUGAAUAUGGGGGGACCAUCCUCCAAGGCUAAAUACUCCUGACUGACCGAUAGUGAACCAGUACCGUGAGGGAAAGGCGAAAAGAACCCCGGCGAGGGGAGUGAAAAAGAACCUGAAACCGUGUACGUACAAGCAGUGGGAGCACCUUCGGGUGUGACUGCGUACCUUUUGUAUAAUGGGUCAGCGACUUAUAUUCUGUAGCAAGGUUAACCGUAUAGGGGAGCCGCAGGGAAACCGAGUCUUAACUGGGCGUUAAGUUGCAGGGUAUAGACCCGAAACCCGGUGAUCUAGCCAUGGGCAGGUUGAAGGUUGGGUAACACUAACUGGAGGACCGAACCGACUAAUGUUGAAAAAUUAGCGGAUGACUUGUGGCUGGGGGUGAAAGGCCAAUCAAACCGGGAGAUAGCUGGUUCUCCCCGAAAGCUAUUUAGGUAGCGCCUCGUGAAUUCAUCUUCGGGGGUAGAGCACUGUUUCGGCUAGGGGGUCAUCCCGACUUACCAACCCGAUGCAAACUACGAAUACCGAAGAAUGUUAUCACGGGAGACACACGGCGGGUGCUAACGUCCGUCGUGAAGAGGGAAACAACCCAGACCGCCAGCUAAGGUCCCAAAGUCACAGUUAAGUGGGAAACGAUGUGGGAAGGCACAGACAGCCAGGAUGUUGGCUUAGAAGCAGCCAUCAUUUAAAGAAAGCGUAAUAGCUCACUGGUCGAGUCGGCCUGCGCGGAAGAUGUAACGGGGCUAAACUGUGCACCGAAGCUGCGGCAGCGACACUAUGUGUUGUUGGGUAGGGGAGCGUUCUGUAAGCCUGCGAAGGUGGCCUGUGAGGGUUGCUGGAGGUAUCAGAAGUGCGAAUGCUGACAUAAGUAACGAUAAUGCGGGUGAAAAGCCCGCACGCCGGAAGACCAAGGGUUCCUGUCCAACGUUAAUCGGGGCAGGGUGAGUCGACCCCUAAGGCGAGGCCGAAAGGCGUAGUCGAUGGGAAACAGGUUAAUAUUCCUGUACUUGGUGUUACUGCGAAGGGGGGACGGAGAAGGCUAUGUUAGCCGGGCGACGGUUGUCCCGGUUUAAGCAUGUAGGCGGAGGUUCCAGGUAAAUCCGGUACCUUUUUAACGCUGAGGUGUGAUGACGAGGCACUACGGUGCUGAAGUAACAAAUGCCCUGCUUCCAGGAAAAGCCUCUAAGCAUCAGGUAACAUUGAAUCGUACCCCAAACCGACACAGGUGGUCAGGUAGAGAAUACCAAGGCGCUUGAGAGAACUCGGGUGAAGGAACUAGGCAAAAUGGUGCCGUAACUUCGGGAGAAGGCACGCUGAUAUGUAGGUGAAGCCCCUGCGGGUGGAGCUGAAAUCAGUCGAAGAUACCAGCUGGCUGCAACUGUUUAUUAAAAACACAGCACUGUGCAAACACGAAAGUGGACGUAUACGGUGUGACGCCUGCCCGGUGCCGGAAGGUUAAUUGAUGGGGUUAUCCGUAAGGAGAAGCUCUUGAUCGAAGCCCCGGUAAACGGCGGCCGUAACUAUAACGGUCCUAAGGUAGCGAAAUUCCUUGUCGGGUAAGUUCCGACCUGCACGAAUGGCGUAAUGAUGGCCAGGCUGUCUCCACCCGAGACUCAGUGAAAUUGAACUCGCUGUGAAGAUGCAGUGUACCCGCGGCAAGACGGAAAGACCCCGUGAACCUUUACUAUAGCUUGACACUGAACAUUGAGCCUUGAUGUGUAGGAUAGGUGGGAGGCUUUGAAGCGUGGACGCCAGUCUGCGUGGAGCCAACCUUGAAAUACCACCCUUUAAUGUUUGAUGUUCUAACGUUGGCCCCUUAUCGGGGUUGCGGACAGUGUCUGGUGGGUAGUUUGACUGGGGCGGUCUCCUCCCAAAGAGUAACGGAGGAGCACGAAGGUUAGCUAAUCCUGGUCGGACAUCAGGAGGUUAGUGCAAUGGCAUAAGCUAGCUUGACUGCGAGCGUGACGGCGCGAGCAGGUGCGAAAGCAGGUCAUAGUGAUCCGGUGGUUCUGAAUGGAAGGGCCAUCGCUCAACGGAUAAAAGGUACUCCGGGGAUAACAGGCUGAUACCGCCCAAGAGUUCAUAUCGACGGCGGUGUUUGGCACCUCGAUGUCGGCUCAUCACAUCCUGGGGCUGAAGUAGGUCCCAAGGGUAUGGCUGUUCGCCAUUUAAAGUGGUACGCGAGCUGGGUUUAGAACGUCGUGAGACAGUUCGGUCCCUAUCUGCCGUGGGCGCUGGAGAAUUGAGGGGGGCUGCUCCUAGUACGAGAGGACCGGAGUGGACGCAUCACUGGUGUUCGGGUUGUCAUGCCAAUGGCAUUGCCCGGUAGCUAAAUGCGGAAGAGAUAAGUGCUGAAAGCAUCUAAGCACGAAACUUGCCCCGAGAUGAGUUCUCCCUGAGACUUUAAGUCUCCUGAAGGAACGUUAAAGACGAUGACGUUGAUAGGUCGGGUGUGUAAGCGUAGCGAUACGUUGAGCUAACCGAUACUAAUGAACCGUGAGGCUUAACCUU